rnacentral:rRNA from 1 species
GAACGCUAGCUACAGGCUUAACACAUGCAAGUCGAGGGGCAGCAUGAACAUAGCUUGCUAUGUUUGAUGGCGACCGGCGCACGGGUGCGUAACACGUAUCCAAUCUGCCCGUUACUCGGGGAUAGCCUUCUGAAAGGAAGAUUAAUACCCGAUGGCAUGUAUUUCCGGCAUCGGAGAUACAUUAAAGAUUUAUCGGUAACGGAUGAGGAUGCGUACGAUUAGCUUGUUGCGGGUAACGGCCCACCAAGGCGACGAUCGUUAGGGGUUCUGAGAGGAAGGUCCCCCACACUGGAACUGAGACACGGUCCAGACUCCUACGGGAGGCAGCAGUGAGGAAUAUUGGUCAAUGGGCGCGAGCCUGAACCAGCCAAGUAGCGUGAAGGAUGACUGCCCUACGGGUUGUAAACUUCUUUUGUUUGGGAAUAAAAGACGCUACGUGUAGCGUUCUGCAUGUACCUUACGAAUAAGCAUCGGCUAAUUCCGUG